rnacentral:rRNA from 1 species
GACGAACCGUGCGAACGUUAUUCGGAAUCACUGGGCUUAAAGGGCGCGUAGGCGGGUCAUCAAGUCCGGGGUGAAAGCCCACGGCCCAACCGUGGAAGUGCCUUGGAUACUGAAGACCUCGAGGGGGAUAGGGGCGUGCGGAACUCAGGGUGGAGCGGUGAAAUGCGUAGAUAUCCUGAGGAACACCGGUGGCGAAAGCGGCGCGCUGGAUCCCUUCUGACGCUGAGGCGCGAAAGCCAGGGGAGCAAACGGGG